rnacentral:lncRNA from 1 species
CGCCCUGUGCAUGCAAAUCAAGGAACUGACUUGAGAUGACUUUCAGAGCUCUGUCUCUUGUGUUUCUUUGGCCUGGAAGAAACAACGCCUAAGUUUUGAGCUGCAUGAAGCUGCCUGACAUCUAAGGAUCUCUGAAGAGAACUGGGACCUGAAACCCAUCUGAAAUGUAUCUGCAGACAGGUCAAGUUCAUCGAGAGUCACCUCCUGCCUGACACUCCAGUCAUUAAUUCCAGAUAGGGGAUUUAGCCUGGAAAGAAUAUAUGACUGCCAGUUACUAAGUGAGCCAGACAUCAAGCCUAGUGCCACGUGUCUCUUCUUUAAAGCAUGAUAGGUCACCAACUGAAGAGGAAAUUGGUGAGCAUCAACUUUCUCAGCAUGGUGAGAGAACAUUGAUGGCUGGUUCAUGCUAAAUGUCCAGAGGAAAGAAAAGGACAGAAAACUUUCUGUGCUACUCAAGAAUGAGAUCUCAAAUGAAAAGGAGCAACGCUGUGAACUUUGCCUGGAAAGAAACAUUCCUCCACAGCCCUGCUGGUUUCAG